rnacentral:rRNA from 1 species
UACGUAGGGGGCAAGCGUUGUCCGGAAUCAUUGGGCGUAAAGCGCGUGUAGGCGGCUUGGCAAGUCGGUUGUGAAAGCCCGGGGCCCAACCCCGGAACUGCAUCCGAAACUGCCUGGCUAGAGUCCCGGAGAGGAAGGCAGAAUUCCCGGUGUAGGGGUGAAAUCCGUAGAUAUCGGGAGGAACACCUAUGGCGAAGGCAGCUCGCUGGGACGUUACUGACGCUGAGACGCGAAAGCGUGGGGAGCAAACAGG